rnacentral:rRNA from 1 species
UACAGAGGGUGCGAGCGUUAAUCGGAAUUACUGGGCGUAAAGCGCACGUAGGCGGAUUUGUUAGUCAGGGGUGAAAUCCCGGGGCUCAACCUCGGAACUGCCUUUGAUACUGCAAGUCUCGAGUCCGAUAGAGGUGGGUGGAAUUCCUAGUGUAGAGGUGAAAUUCGUAGAUAUUAGGAAGAACACCGGUGGCGAAGGCGGCCCACUGGAUCGGUACUGACGCUGAGGUGCGAAAGCGUGGGGAGCAAACAGG